rnacentral:rRNA from 1 species
CCUACGGGGGGCUGCAGUGGGGAAUUUUGGACAAUGGGGGCAACCCUGAUCCAGCCAUGCCGCGUGCGGGAAGAAGGCCUUCGGGUUGUAAACCGCUUUUGUCAGGGAAGAAAUCUUCCGAGCUAAUACCUUGGGAGGAUGACGGUACCUGAAGAAUAAGCACCGGCUAACUACGUGCCAGCAGCCGCGGUAAUACGUAGGGUGCAAGCGUGAAUCGGAAUUACUGGGGGCGAUUGGGGCGCAGAGGGUUUAAGUCCCCGGGAUGAACCUGGGAACUGCACUUGUGACUGUACGGCUGGAGUACGGCAGAGGGGGAUGGAAUGCCGCGUGUAGCAGUGAAAUGCGUAGAUAUGCGGAGGAACACCGAUGGCGAAGGCAGUCCCCUGGGCCUGUACUGACGCUCAUGCACGAAAGCGUGGGGAGCAAACAGGAUUAGAUACCCCGGUAGUC